CAGGCAGCACUCAGCUCCCAGACCUGCACUGUGAUCCAUCUGUCCUGCAGAGAACUGGCUCUGCUUCUUACAAGUGCCACAUAACACCUGGAGGGCUAUGGUGGCAUUCACUCAAACCCCAUCUGGUCAAGGAAGAAACGGCAUAUUCUCCUUAGUGCUGCUCUCUCCACACCUUUAUGUCAGACCACUUCUGUGCCAGGGUCUGCCAGCUCAGUACUCAUUAUCCACAUAAGGGAGAGCAAACAGCACAAAGCCAAUCAGUGCUGCUGCCUUCCCUGGGCACCAGGGCAGCCACAUGUUCUGCCUUAUGGCAACAUCCUCCAGCAGCUUCCAUAUCCAGCAGGGCUGGGAAUUGCUCUGUGGUGGUCCUGUCUCUUCGAAGAAGGAUUUCUCAGGAAGGGCAGAAUGAUGUUCAGACUGACAGCUUCUUGUACUCGAUGCCUUGUCUUCUCUGCUGGAUCUCUUGCUGUGAAUACCUCGUUCAUGUCAGUUGCGUGGAGGGAAGAAUUAUGAGUUUCCCUUUUCCUAUCACUUAUUUAGUACCCGUUUUGCUCUCCCUUGUCUUACCUACUUAGGUUGUGCUUACGGAGCAGGGAUAUGAGUGUUAGCUUUAGAUGAAUUAGCUCAGCUGUCCUUUUACUUCACUGAAACCUGUACUGUAAACAUAGCAGACUGCAGGCUCUGGGAGAGGGGGAAUUAUUUACGGCCUUGUUUUUACAUUGUUUAGUAGAGCAGGGCCCAAACAGGAGAGGCUCUGGAUGUGACCAUCAUGCAGAUCGUUUCAUGGUGACCCAGCGGGAGAACCAAGGCCAGACUCAGAGGUUAGCAGUUCAUAACGGGUAAAGAGAAGUUUAAAUUUCUGAAUUAUAAAGUUGUAAAAAAGAUUCAAAGGGAAGUAAGGGCAUCCUCAGCCCACUCUUUGAUAGUACAAUACAUAAAAACCAGAUUUUGUAGGAGUAUAAUAAAAGAUUGUAUAGGAGUAUAAUAAAACCCAGACACAAGUCUGAAAAAUUCAUUAGUUUCUGCCAUGACUAAAAUAAGCACUGUCUAUGAAAACUACUUUGCAAUGGUAAUGAAAAGCAAGUGGAAAAGCAAGUGUUAGCACCAGUGCUGUGACGUGAAAUAAUUUCUGUAUACUCAGAUCUGUCAUUGUGAACAAUGUUGUUGAUUAUAAACUACAUCAAAUUCUCAGUCUCCCUCCCCCAAAACAUGUAUUUUAUUUUGCAGUUUUUGUGGUAAUUACGAAAUCAACAGAAUACUAUCUAGUUUUACCACAAUUAAGCUAAAUACAUACUUCUUAGAUGAUGUAAAAAAUACUUGGUAAUGGUAAUGUCUCCAUAACAGUAACUUCCACCCUAGAACAAGCGACAGUGUUUCUUAUGCGUUUUUAGGGGUGGCAUUUAAUGAUAAUGGUGAUUUUCAGCUUUCCCAAGAGUUUUACAAUUUAGCAGGUACUUGGAUGCAAUUUAUAAUCAAGAUUUGACCUGCAGAGCUUCAUUUAUUGUUACUCGAUAAGAGAAGCCUCCAAGAUUUGAAUGAAUCUCGUGGCCCUUUCAGCGUGCAUGAGUAUGAUGGAAGGGACGAUGACACAGACUUAUGGCACUGCAAGCAGCUCUCUGAAAACAGAAAAACAAAAAACAAUUAGAAAAAAGAAACACUGCAGUUUAAUAGAACCAGUGACACAAACAAAAUGUGGACUCGAGAACAGCAAGUGGCAACUAAGGUAAUGAUAGAACUGCUUCACAAAUAAUUCGCUGUUUAGAGCAUCUUACAGAGUGAGAUUGUAUCCUUUUGUUAUGCAAUAUAAAAUCAGAUAAGCAUUUGCUGUAACAAAAGUUAUUUACAGUCACAUAAUUUUGAACAACAAGCACAUGACCUUUGAAAUUAGAUUGGUUAAAGUUUUCCAAAAAGUUAAAAGUUAAAGUUUGACUGGCUUGAGUCAGUGGGAGAUUCCCUUCAACUUCAGUGGGGCUGUUGAAAAUCCUACCCUUCACUGAUUGUUUGUAGAUAGGGCUGAUGCUUCCUACCUCUUCUUAAAUAUGCUGUUUCAAUUCUAUUUGACCUUUCUUACCUGUAUGAUACCAUUUGACUGAGUAGUUUACUAUCUUAUUGAAUACUAACUUCAUCAUUUGCUUCAGUAAUUGCCUUUUUUAUAGGUUAGAUAUGGGCAAAGAUCAGACAAAGCAGAAACAGAUCCCAUCUACUUCAAAUACUGUCUGGCUAGCCAUAGUCAUAAGCUAUGUUCAGUUAGUAUUCAGAAUACUGCUGACUCCUUUCCUAUACCUUCAUAAAAAAGUAUGUCAUAAGGAUAUUAUAGUGAUCGUAUUUAAAAUUAUUUUUCUGUAUUGAAAUAGAGUUGACAAGUAAAGGAGUUUAUACUGAAGAAUUUAAGGUUUGGGUUUUAUAAAUGUAAUGGCACCGUAUUUUUUAAUGUUAAGCUAUAUUUGUUAUAUAAGCUAUAUAAGUUGAUAUAUUUUGGAGCAAGUGAAAAUGUUUGAAUUCCUUUCAGAAUGUAAAAUUGUCGCCAGAGUUUUAAAAGCAGCUCUUUGCAGGCCCAACACCUGGAAAAUAAAACUUUGGGAAAAGUAAAGGAAAAGGAACAUCAGUCUUUCCUCAAAGACUUCUAAGCAACAGUAAAGAAAAGCAAAAACAUUUAGACUUUCACUUUUUUAAUGCAGUCUGAAAGCACAACAGCGUUCUAGUUUGUCAAUUUACAUUUGUCUGUUGCCUUUUCCUGCUACCAUCAGCACAGUUAGAUGACAGCGCAUUCUCUAUUCUCAAGAUCAUCUUCGUGAAAGUAUCCAUGGGAUGACUGCUGAAGAAACAAGAGGAACUAACAGAGAAAAGCAAAGGAAGUAGGACUGCACUCUACCUGAAAAGCUGAUGUCCUAAAUGACUGAUGUAGAAGCAGGAUCUGCCAUCACUAACCCUGAGGCAGCUGGCAGCUGCAGCACUCUUCAGGCUGCACCAGAGAUAAGGAACCCAAACUACACAUGGACCCUUAAGUGGAGGAAGGAGGGACUUGCAGAGGGCUCCCAGUGAGCAGUGAGGAUGCCACAUCUUGAGGCGCUGAUACCUCUGCUGCUUCCUCUCAUCUGCUGGAUGGAGGGACUUGCUUCAUCUCCCCUUGUCUCACCUUGGAAGUGCUGGAGGUCCUGUGUGCAGACAGCAGAAUACAGAGGACAGUAGCAAACUUCAUGUACCAAUGGGCAGUGACUGUUGGUGCCCAUCCAGUUCUUUGGAUGUAUUAUACAUGGAACUGCUGUUAACAUAUAAGCAGCCACUGCUAAAUUAUAACCUUAAAGACGAUGGGAUUUCACCAGUGUCAGCAUCUGUUGUUCAUAAAGGAAUUGGGAAAUGGCCCAGCGUCACAUCCAGCUCUGAUCAUGAACAAAUACACUUUGACUUGGACAUGACCUGAUAUUCAAACUAGCAGUAGAUGGAAAAGAAGACAAACAGUUUUUUCAUGAGUUUCAAACACACCUUAAGCAGCUCCGGGACCUUCCAUCAAGAUAACUUGAUAAACCUUGUAUGUUUACCUACCUUGACAGUUGUUCAGAUGUCAUGCUAUUUUGGUUUUAGAUUAUUUAAACUAAUGCCUGCUGUCCCACAAGAUACAGGUGAUUGCAAAGGCAGAAAGGUCACCUAAUGAAGCCUGAACUGACCUAGGAAUAUGGGCUUGGCUCCAUUCCCUGCAGUAAAACUUCAGUGCAGAAGAUCAAAUGUGAGAUUCACCUACCUCUGAGCAUAGACGUGUUCCAGGACAAAGUUUGGCAUGCAGGCCCUUCUACUCAGGCAGAACAGUACACGACAAAUGUAGCACUGCACAGUGACAUCCAAGCAGCAUGCCACAAGGUCAGAGCCUGGGUCAUAAUUCACCCUAUUAUAUCUGUUUAAUCCAUUCCUUAUUCAUUUUACUACAUGUAUUUCCUACUGAUUAUAUACCUUGUCAUGCAUCUCCAACUGACUUUUAAUCUCCAUGAUUUAAUCUUCAUUAUGGAGUCACCGGGUAUGACCAAGUUUUACUUAUUAGCAAAAACAUUAUGUAUUUUUUGAUGUUCUAAUUGGAAUAUUUCCAAUCUGAAUAUCCUCACUGUGCUCUCUCUCAGGUGUCUGUGUCACCUCCAGUACUCUCAUGGACUGCACACAUUCUGCUCAUUAAUCUACAUACCAUCACUUCUGGUGCAAAGCAAUCAUACUUAGGCUUUCUGAAAGCAGUAUAACAAUAUUUCAGCCUAUAAGCCAAUCCAGGUACUCAGACAGAAAAUACAUCUAGUCAGUUGUGUUUACAUAAAGACAUUUAUAGGGUAUGUUAUCACGAUAGUCUAUUACUUAGUAGAGCUGGUUGCAAAGUAAGAGAAAUACUACUUAUUACUGUAGUUUAGACUCUAGAAGCCUUAUGUAUUUUUUUAAUCAGAGAACAAGGAGUUGUCUCAAACGAAAAAGAAACCAAAACAAAAAAAUAUUUUCAUUUAAAAAUUACUUUUUUUCCAUUUGUUCAAGUAAAUAUUAACUGCAGCAGAUAUCCACAGCCCUCUUGAAAAGGUAAAACUUCCUAAGGCUUCUAGAAAUGCACAGCUAGACAGAGAAAGUGAGCUAACAGCCUCAUUGUUAUUAAUAAAAUAAGCCUGGUGAUACAUAGCAGUAUCAUUUGGUCACCAUGGCCCCCUCUAGCCCUACCCAAAGCUGAAACAGAAAGAAUAUCCCACCUGUGUUUCAUUAACCUAGUUUCCAAUUAAAAGACUGAAAUAUUGUAGGUUUUUCAUCUCUGUGAUUUUAUCUGUAGCAAAUAAAUGAUCCGAGUGCAAGGACAAAGAGAUUUAAAGGAAGGUUAUUUACUCAAAGAGCUCUCCAAUUUCCUGAUGGUAGAAUUCACUGGGAAAAAAAAAACAACACAACUUACACCUGAGGAACUGUAGCUGAAAUUGCAGAUAGCCACUAGAGAGAGAGAGAAAAAAAAGGCUUCUUUAAAAACCAGUAACACCGCUAUUAUUGCAAUUCUGACUGUCAAGAAGUAAUUGCAAAUUGUUCUUGUGCCUGGACCUCCACUUGCAGAUCACAGACUGACUAUAAUAAGAAAUUAUCCCUUAAAAAGAAGGAGCCCCAGAGGAGUAGCAAAGACCAGCAUAAAAUAGGCCACAAAAAUCCUAACCAUUGAAUUUGAAGCACUAACAUACAAAAAAGAAAUGCAAGAUCACUUAGAUAUAACUUGGCCAAAACCUGCAGCAGGGAGAGCAGCCAGAAGACAUUUGAAGGAUGCGUUUGCAUGGGAAAUUCUUAGGGCUGAAGUACACAGAAAAGAACUAUUAAGGGGUGGGUAAGUAGGACUGAUGAAAUCAAAGGAAAAUGAAAGAAAAUGAUUUGACAGCAAUUGCAUGCUGUAUGGUUGCUGUGCUGUAUUUUCCCACGGGAAACAGUCAAAUGUGUUUCACUGGAAACAUUAAAAAACAACGCAGGCUGGACAGAAGCACGGAGGGAGUGCAGUAGUCAGAGAUGGGACUGGAGAGCAUUUCCACUCCUGAAUUACCUAUUUCCUGGCUGCCGUUUUAUUGUGAUUCAUUGUUUUUCCUUCUGGAACCAAUAACCUUCCACACAACAACCCCAAUCAAUGGUGAGCAUUUGCCAUGCACGAAGACCUGUUUAGAGGACUGACCCCAACUUACCUACUGGUCGGUAUCAUUCAACACUGACGUUUAUGUGCAGAGUCCUGCCUCUGCAAAGAACCAGCACCUGACUUUAUACAAAUACACACAGCCUAGGAAAUAAGUAGGUUGAGUUGGAAAUUUGGAAAGUUAUGACCUUGUUGCUAUCAUGGGAGUCUGGGAUGACUCCCAUAACUGGAAUACCAUCAUUGAGGGGCAUCGGCUCUUUAGAAGGGAUAGGCAAGGUAGAAGGGUGGGGGAGUUGUCCUCUAUGUCAAAGAGUGGAUAGACUGUGAGGAGCUCCCUCUGAGAAACAGUCAGGAGCAGGUUGAGAGCCUGUGGGUUAAAACUAGGGAUAGGACUCAUAAAGGCCAGCUGGUGAUAGGGAUAUAUAUACUACAGGCCACCUGAUCAAGGGGAGACGUUGACAAGGCCUUCUUGCUUCAGAUGCAGGAGACAUUGUGCUCACAGACUCUCGUCCUGGUGAGGGACUUCAACCAUCCAGAUAUCUGAUGGAGAGACCACACAGCGAGUUCCAAGAGGUCCAGGAGGCUCCUGGAAUCCAUUGAUGAUAACUUUCUGGUUCAGGUAUUGGACAGACCAACCAGGAGUGAAGUGUUGCUGGACCUGCUGCUCACCAAUGCAGAGAUGAUCAUUACAGGUGUUAAGGUGGGAGGCAGCCUGGGCUGCAGUGACCAUGCUGUGGCCGAGUUCAUGAUCUCGAGGAAUGCGGGCCUGGCAAACAGUGGGGUCAGGACCCUGAACUUCAGAAGAGCGAACUUUAAGCUGCUGAAGGAAUUUUUGGCCAAGAUCCCACUCUACUGGGUCCCUUCCAACUCAGGCCAUUCUGUGACUCUGUGAAAAAAAAUAAUAACUUUUUUUUUCUUUCCUCAAAGCAAGCUUCUACUUAAAAAAACUGCAUGCCCAGUUAUGUAAAAGUGAGAGAAAGUCUCAGGGCCCUGCAGAUACCAUGUUGAGAACUGUUGAGUCAUGGCCUGAACCACUCAUUGAGCACCUGGGGAAAGGACCUGGUCAGCCCUGGGAGCACAGGUGAAGGCAAUUCAUCUGUGCAACCAGAAGGGGUGGAGCCUGGCUGCACCUCUCUUAGACCUCAUUUAAGGGCUGACUGCCACUGGGGAAGGAUCUCUGGUUGGAGAUGCCUCCCUUGUGGUGUUUUCCCUGUGAGCCUGGAUCAUCAGAGAUGGGUACACCCAUACAUGUGAUGCAACAUUUGGUCUAACAGUGGUCAACCCAGGGGAAGAAUAAGACCAAAGCCCAACUUGAGAAGUGGUGUCCUGGCACGGAGGUCUCAGGAACCUCUGCUCUGAGCCUCAAGCUGGAUGGCCUCUCGCGAUCCUCUCUCCCUCUGAGCUUGGAAAACGAGACGUGGAACAGAAUCUCCUGCUGUUUUGGUCUUAUAAUGAGAUGGGAAGCAGUUCUUGCUUAACAUCAGAAACAAUAUUUAGUGACUUCUACAAAUGUACCUGAUAUAUACAUGCUAAUGCUUCAUAGGACUGAUUCCAAGUGACCUUGGCAACCUUUUGUUCAGCUGAUAGUUUAAGUAAUGUUUUUGCUUAGUUGCUGUUUUGCUUAAGACCUUAAUUCUUGCAAGAAACAACUUUGUGCUGCACCAUUCCCACGUGGAUGGAGAAAUGCAUGAAUUUUUCUUAACAUGACUUGACAGUGAAUUUAUUUCAUUGUGUCUGUUUUGACCUGAGCAACUAUUUUUAUUUCCUGUCCAUCUGAGUUACUACUUGAUUUGCUGAAAGCUAAGGAACCAGAGCUGUGAGAUUAAGAUUUCAAAAAUACAUGCUUUUGGAGAAGUUAUUUGGCUGAAACAAAUGCCCUGUGUUGGUCUGUCAGAGCCACGUGUCCUGUCCCUCUGAGCUAAGCUGUAUCGGAAGGCAAGACAGUCACUGCUGAAUGCCGCUUCAUUGAAAGUACAAGUAUUUUAAAAGUAUCCAGUACUUCAAAUGGAAUUUCUAAUGCUCAAUACUUUGAGUUAAUAAAAAAAAACUUCUAAAAACUUUUGUUUUUCUUUGCUUUUCUUUUUCUUUUUUUCCUCUAAGCUUUUUCCUUUCCUUCAGCAGUUUGUUAAAAUGAUAUAGUAGUUCCUCAGAGCUUGACUGACUUCCGUGGGUUCCUGGCAAUGGAAUCACUUGAGCUUCUAGACUUGUAAUUUAGAGCAUGAAAAGAGCCACAUCAGGGCUGGUCAACACCAUUAGCCACUCUCCAGUAGUGACAAAUAGCAUAUCCUGGGGAAAAAUGUAAGAAUGAGACUUGGAGACCGAGGCAGAGAUUAUAUCUUCAAAGUCCAUGAUGGAUUCUUUUUUUCUCCCACCAGAUCAGCUGCUGGCCUUUUUACUUCAGAAGCAUUCCUGGCUCAUAGCCAUAAAUUUGACUAGCUGUCUAACUAAUGAGUUUACCUAGAGUUUAAUUGGAUGUUGGAGAAUUUCUCCUGAUUUGAAUCUGUCAGUCCAUUUUUGUCCCCUGUUUCUUACAGCAUAAGAAAUGAUGAACAAUUUUUCUCUAUUAAAACCUUCAUUUUAUGAUUGCACACACCUCUGCCAUAGCAACUUCAGGCAUCUCUUUUCCAAGGCAUUGCUCUAUUUUUUUUUUCUCAGUGAGGAAGUUAUUCAGUGUGUUUGCUCAUCCUUCUCCCUGACUUGUGUUCUUUUGUGUCUCAAGACAAAUACAGAUCUCAAUAAGUACUACCCGGGGAUCCCUUAGCUUCUUUGAACUGCAGUCAUUUUCUUAGUAGUGCUGUGUAAAAAUGACAUAUGUGAAAUACAGGGGAAUUUGCUGGAGACUUCCAAUGCUGAAGAUUAAGUAAAUAUGAUUUUACUCUACAUACAAAAUCUACUGAUGAGGAAGUUAAGUUCUCAUCAGCAGCAGUUACAGUAACUGGCUUGUCUGCUUUCCUCACGCAGGGGAUAAUUCUGACACAGAGAAUUUACUUGUUGGUAUCUUUUUUUUUCUAUGACAG
ensembl:lncRNA